UCACUCGUUCUCUAUAUAUAAUUGUUUUCGUUGCUUCAUUCAUUCAAUUUUUAUGCUCUCUUUAAGUAAGCUAAGCAUUGAUUAUUUUACUAGUAUAGUAGUACUAAGUAGUACUUAAAGUCGGGUUUUUUUAAGCUAAAUUAAUGUACUUUUUAUUCGUUACUUCUACAGUUCUACUUGUUCUUCCUCACCUUGAAAUUACCGCAUUCACAUGAGUUGAACCGGGUUUUUUUUAAUUAUUAUUAUAGGAGGGGUUCGAGUUGCUUGAUUAUUUAUGAUGUUACCAAAAUUGUGGUUGGUUUAUAUAUUUGUACUUUCUGGCCAAAAUGUGGGAGGGGAUUGGUAAGAGGAUUGAACAUUUUGCUUAAUUGGUAGAAAGAUUAGACUUGGAUAUUUUGAUUAAGACUUCCAUGAUCGUAUUCGGAUUGAUUAUGUACUGUUUGGAGGGGUAAGCGUGUUACUUAGGGGAUCUUUUGGAAUGUGGACGCAAUUUUGGAGCAUACCGGGUACUUGUAAACAAGUAGCCAAGAUUUUCCUUUUUGAUAGCAAGUGGCCCAGGUUUUGUUUGGAUGCUGUUGAUUACUUGUGCAUAAUAACAUGUUGCAUUUUCAUGCUCUGUAAUGAGAUUUGUAAUAUAAGUAUUGAAUUGGGGUUCACAUAUAAGCAUUCUUACAACAUCUGGCUAUAUAUGAGAUUUUCUGCAGAGUGUCUUGGGAAUUAUUCUUGGAGGUGGAGCUGGUACUCGUCUUUAUCCUCUGACAAAGAAAAGGGCAAAACCUGCGGUUCCUUUAGGAGCAAAUUAUAGGCUUAUCGAUAUCCCUGUUAGCAAUUGCUUGAACAGCAACAUAUCAAAGAUUUAUGUUCUUACGCAAUUCAAUUCUGCAUCUCUCAAUAGCCACCUUUCACGGGCUUAUGCAAGUAACAUGGGUGGUUACAAGAAUGAAGGAUUCGUUGAAGUUCUUGCUGCUCAGCAGAGUCCGGAGAACCCCAACUGGUUCCAGGUAUAUAUAUGUCAAACCUGGCAUCUCAUAUAUCUGCUUCAGUUAUGGUGAAAUAUUGACGCAGUACAACAUUUUAGUUAUACCUUAAUGAUUCCUAAUACUGGAUUUCAUCACUAUUGUAAGAAUUUAGGUUUAAACUGUUUCCCUAAUAUCUGCCACAGAUAGCAGAUAAUAGCUUAUAUUGAGAGAUGAUAAUUAGAGAACAGUUAUAUAACUGAAGAAGUUAUGAUGUUCUAUUAGUUUUACCUACUAUAUGGGGCAAAUAGAGAAAAUUUUGAGUGAGAGCGAAGACCAGGGAAAUUUACUGAGCUUCUGUUAUAUUUUAUUACUUGUCGGAGCACUGUGUGUCCAGUUGCCUAAAUCAGAUUCAAAUGGUACAUACACAUCCUGCACAGUCCUCCCCUCAUGAACUAAAACCCUAAAAAGUCCAGCUUCGGGUCCAUCAUUUUUUUUAAAGUUGCAACAUUAUUACAUCUUAAAAUUAGUACAACAGAAGUAUUUUGCAUAGCAAAGACCAGGGAAAUUUACUGAGGUUCUGUUAUAUUUUAUUUCUUGUUCAAGGUUUCAAAUUCUUAACCUAGUGUCAAAUUGAUUAUGGAACUGUGGUUCUGAAAACAAUGUGCACUUACUAGAGCCAAUGUAUAUGUUUGAGCGAUAAUCUCAAGAACCUCAUGUUUUAGGUGCUGUGUUUGUUUACUGAUGAAAUAUUCCUUUCUACCUUUAAUGCAUUUUGUGACAUGCUUUUUAUUUAUUAAUUUAUACUGGUCCCUUGGUCAGAGCUUGCAAAUGUAGAGCAACUUUAUUAAUGUUUUUAGUAGUGGCCUAUGAUCCAACUUUCUAUCACUUCUUCUGAUGAAAUGCGUUCUACUCUACUAGUUUAAUUUAUGGAAUUUAUGAACACUAGUUUGAUUUCAGUUUGAAUUGGCUCCAGGGUACAGCUGAUGCUGUGAGACAAUAUCUGUGGCUUUUUGAGGAGCACAAUGUUCUAGAAUACCUGAUUCUUGCAGGGGACCAUUUAUACCGAAUGGAUUAUGAAAGAUUUAUACAAGCACACAGGGAAACUGAUGCUGAUAUCACCGUAGCUGCCCUGCCAAUGGAUGAAAAACGUGCCACUGCCUUUGGUCUGAUGAAGAUCGAUGAAGAAGGACGCAUAAUUGAAUUUGCAGAGAAACCAAAAGGCGAGCAAUUGAAAUCUAUGAAGGUAAGACAAUGUUGUGAGAUGGUGUUUUGAAAGCUUCCUUCCUUGUUUCUAUCUAUUAGUCAUAAUCUUGCUGUCUGGCAAGUGAAAUAAUACUGUCCUUUGUGUUUGAUCUUUGUUCUAGGUAGAUACGACUAUCUUGGGUCUUGAUGACGAGAAAGCCAAAGAGAUGCCCUACAUUGCAAGUAUGGGUAUAUAUGUUGUCAGUAAAGAUGUAAUGUUAAAUUUGCUUCGAGAUAAGUUCCCUGGAGCUAAUGAUUUCGGAAGUGAAGUUAUUCCUGGUGCAACUUCUGUUGGAUUGAGAGUAUGCAUAUGUUAUCUCUCUUCAUUUUUAUAUACCUAGUAUAUCCAGAAUGUACCUUUAACUAGUAGUGUCUGAGUAAAAGAGGCCAUUCUUUAUGCAUUCUUUUAAUUUAAUCAUGUAUAUAUAUCUGUUGAUCAUUUGGCAAAAAAAAAAAACACAGAAAGAAUAUAUCGGCUAAAUUUGACCUAUGCAUUGGUGACUUUGUUUUUCUCUUCAACAUACAUGACGGCAAGAUUUGAAGAUGAUACUUGCUUAAAACAUCAUUUUGAACCUAUGUAUGAUUGGUGAAAUUUUAUGAACUUUGUUGAUCUAUAUGACUAUAUUUCCAGGUUUACAAUGAUGUUAUGAAUUAAUUGAUUACCAGAAGAAUAUGAAAAGGAGAAUUGGUUAUAGUUAUGUAAUCUGCUUAGACGACCUAUCUGGUUGUUCUUUUCCUGGGGCCAAAUUUAUUAUUUCAUAUUUUACAAAAUUGCGUAGGUGCAAGCUUACCUGUAUGAUGGCUACUGGGAAGAUAUUGGUACAAUUGAAGCAUUUUACAAUGCCAAUUUGGGGAUCACAAAGAAACCAGUGCCAGAUUUUAGGUAUUGCUCAGAUAAGAGUCAAUAACAUAUGUAAUGUACCUUUAUUGAAUGUCUAUAUGAAAAGCUUCUUUCUACGAAAGUGAUGCACGUCUUAAUUUCAGCUUCUACGACCGAUCAUCACCUAUUUAUACACAACCUCGAUAUUUACCCCCUUCUAAGAUGCUUGAUGCUGAUGUCACGGAUAGCGUUAUCGGCGAAGGUUGUGUAAUCAAGGUGCGUGAAUUUUAGAUUACAGAUGUCCGUUUGAAAAAAUAUAAGGUGGCUCCGCUCUUAGUGAUCCCACAAUUUAUUAGUACAUUGUGGGAAAUUGAGAAAUGGGUGGACAAACAUGAUUCUAUACUGCGGUGAGACAUGUUUUUGUGUUUGAUGUUGAUUCCGAAGGGGUAAAGUAAGGUAUAGUUACAAAAUGCAGCUCCAAACUUUUAUGUUGUGUUAUUUGAGUAAGAUUGUCAUAGAUAAAAUCUAUUGGAACAGUAGCAGAAUUUGGAGAUAGUGAUUGAUCCUGUCUUUAUUCUCAAUUAAAAUUAAGACAUAGAAGUUGUAUUUUGCAGUAAUCAAGCAUUGGCUCAUUUUAGUUACGUUCUUACAAAUCCUUUUGCAGAAUUGCAAAAUUCACCAUUCAGUGGUCGGCCUUCGAUCUUGCAUCUCAGAAGGUGCAAUUAUUGAAGAUACUCUGUUGAUGGGAGCUGAUUAUUAUGAGGUAAUACAUCUCUGGGAGCUGAAUAUACUUCUUUUUAAAUUUAAUAAUUCCUUUUCAUAUAGAACACAGAUGUUGUGUUUGGUUAGUCUGAAAUUAUGAGGAAUCAAAUCAUAUUUUUACUAUUUUAUGAGUAAACAUUUAUAAUUUUCAGUUCCUCUAUUUUACUUAUCCGAAACUCAGAAUCACCAAUUUGAGAAGGAAUGCUCCACCCUACUGAUUUUUUUCAAAAAGCUCAUAUAAAAAUUUAUACUCUCUUAUUUUUUAAGUCUUCUUUCCUGCUUUCAUUUUUUUCUCCUUCAAUUUUGUUCACAAUUUUUCAUUCCAUUCUCCUGAAGCAAAAAAAGGGAAUGGGAGACUGUUAAAGGCUUGUAGAUAACCUUGUCAUAUCUGGUUAUAGUAUGCUUGGACAUUUAAGCCAAAUUUACCUCUAAACAAUUGUGGGUAGAAUGGAGACUGCCAAGGAUUGUAGAAAACCUCAUACUGUGUGGUUAUUAUUUGCCUUUGGAGUUGAGCUAAAGUUAUGUAUUGUGGGUGCAAUAGAUUAUCUAAUAUAUAUUCUUGCACUUUUUUUCCUAAUUGUAAACCUUUUCUCGUUAUAUCCGUGACAGACGGAUACCGACAGAAAGUCUUUAGCUGCGAAGGGUAGUGUCCCAAUCGGUAUUGGCAAGAAUUCUCACAUCAGAAGAGCAAUUAUUGACAAAAAUGCUCGCAUAGGGGAUAAUGUGAAGGUAUGGAUUUCAUGUGUUCACUAUUAAAAAUAAACAGCUCUGCGCCGUAUAAUACCAGUAUUAAAAUUUACUCUUCAUCUAACAAAGAGAGCUCUGCUAUAAGUUUUGGAAAUCGACAACAUAAUAACUUACAAUUACAUGAUUACUGCAAUAUCAGCAGAUAAGAAUGCUUUUGCCUAUUGUACGCUGUACUAUAUCUGCACUGUCGUAUAAAUCACACAUAUGUUACCUCUAGAGAAAAGAGUAGUACAAUAACAGAAUGAGGCUAAACUUACAAGAAACCAUAGUUACGGUUUAGAGGUGAUCGAAGACAUGGUACUCGACUACUUGUGGACCUGAAUUUUUGUAUCGUAUGUUGGUUGUGAAAGAGCACUAGCCAUCUUGCAAUACCUGAAACACUAUUUUUCUCGUCCAUCUUGGAUAAGGAAAUGUAUUCAGCAAAACUAUAAGUGUUGCACUGGAUCACUUGGUAACUGGUAGCCUCCCUAUAGUUUCAUGAAAAGGUGUAUAAUGAAAUAUGUAUCUUGGUGCUUGCGAGCUUGAGGAGCUACCUUUUAAAUUGUCUCCCCUACUCUCUUUGUAAUUGGAAGGAAAACAAUAACUACAUUCCGUAUGAGUGAUGUAUUUUGUAGCUGUUUGGUAUUUGAUGUUCUUGUAUGUUUUGCAUCAUUUUUACCUAUUUAAUAUUUGAAUAUUUUCCCCUGAACUUCGUCAUUUCAGAUCAUAAAUAGUGACAAUGUCCAAGAAGCAGCAAGAGAAACCGAUGGUUACUUUAUAAAGAGUGGAAUUGUGACAAUAAUCAAAGAUGCUUUGAUCCCCAGUGGCACUGUAAUCUAGAGGUCUUCUUCUUGUUGUAUCCGUAUUGGACCAAAUCCAUCUCCAACUUGUUAAACUGAAAAGGGGAGCCUUCCAUUUAAAAAGUAAACUCAAUGUACGUCUCCCCCUCACUUUAGCAGGGAAAAAUAUGACUUAAAAGAGAUUUAUGAUGUAAAAUGCAAUUUAUAAGCCGGUUAAUUUAUUUCUGCCACUUGGGGUUUAUAUCGGAUUUUUAUUAAUAUUAUAUGAAUGUUAAAUUUUUUCCGAAAUAAAUUCUUAAUUGAGAUGAAAUAACUUUAUCCAAACAAGGACAUUGUAGGCUUUGUUAUGUAGGGGAGGGUUCUGGUACAAACUUACAAACUUUUUUUGUUCAACACAUAUAUAACUUGAGUUCAACAUUUUUUUAACAUAUUUUGUUGAGCAUCGAUUAAAAUAGUGGUGGAGAAGUACAUAAACCAAUUUUUAAAUGUAAGAACUAAGGUAAACAUGUUAUUUAACUAAUAUUUAUGUUUCUAGACCCUACCCAAACCCCAGAGGUAUAGUUUAAACAUCUUUUUAGAUAUAUUCAACACAAUGAUAAUUAGUGUUCAACACCCGAUGUUGAACCCCAGUUAUAAAUGUGUUGAAAACGCGAUUUAUUUAUGCGUUAUUUUUAAAAAUUGUGAUGUUUUUUGACGAAUUUUCAACAUGGAUACUUUAUAUAACUAAGGAUUAACACGAUGGGAGAAUAAAAAAAAAUUUGUAAAUUUGUAACUUAAAAAAGUUUUUAUUUGAUCCUAUCCCUUGUUAUGUAAUGAAUAUAUACGUAUCUUUUUGACUUACAUUGUUAUUGAAAAAUUAAUUACCUAUUUAUAUCACACCAUUAACUCUACUAAUUAUCUAAUUAUAUAUAUUUAUCACGCCAUUAACCCUACAUAAUUAUCAAAUAAAUCAUAUUCAAUCAUGUAAAUUUUGUAACAGAAGCGGGAAUAAUUUUUUUAUUUUCACAACAUUUUAAUAUAUUUAAAUUGGUGAAUGACCUCGUGUUAUGUGAUUAAAUCGAAAAAUGUUACUCCCUCUGUCACAUCCAAUUCUUUUACGUAGAGAAAAAAAAGGUGGGUGGACUGGCGGGACUUAUUGAAUUUUAAUAUAUAUAGAAGAGGGAUUGUGGAGUAAAAGUAGUGUGAAAACGACAAAAAACAAAUGGGGAAAUUGCAAGACCCAUUAACUAUUUUAAAGUAAUUUUGUAAUAUAAAAAAAUGAAUGUGUAUAAAAAAAAAAUCCGUAAGUAAAACAAGCGAGUAUAAUAAAAGGUAUAAAUAUGAUAACCCAAUCCAACUGUCCUUGCAGCCCUAGUGCCCUACGAAGCUCCUCCCAAUAAAGCAGAAGGUCCGAGGAAAAGGCAGAAUUGGAUUCAUCGUGUCUGUGAAGAUUUCAUAAACGUCAGCCUUUAGUCAUCAGUUAGCUCGAUAUUUGUUUUGUACUCAUUAAUCAACUGCCCAAUUUAUUUUAGGACUUCCUCAAUCAUGCAUGACUACGUAGGUGAAUAACUAAUUUAGUGGAUAAACUUCAUAGAAAUAUAUAUUAAUCUAAAAGCAAGACAAACUACAUUAUAUAUUGUUUUAAUAUUAAUUUUUAAAUUAUCAAAAAAUAGUGUACAACUCAUUAAACAUUUUCUCCAUAUAUUAAAUAUUUAAAUUACGUUUCGAUUAAAAAGUUCAUACAGUAGUGAUCAAAUUCGAAUAUUUAUUUUCAUCGAUAUGCAUUUCAUAAUUACAAAAAUUAUCACCCUUUAGCUUCUCUCAUUUCUAAUUUAGUUCUGUUCCAUUAAAAAUUAAAAUAAAAAGGAUAACAAUCACAAUGUGAUAUAUACGAACCCAAUGACGCAAAUUAGUUUAGCUAGUGUAGUCAAAGUCAAAGAGUCAAAGAGCAAAUCGGAGUUUAGCUAGAACCAUCGCGUCUCGGCCAGAACCAAGUAGCUUUAUAUCUCUAAACUUAAAUGUGCAAUACUUCGGCACCAGGAAAAGGACGUGCGUCGAAAUGACAAAGCCGUGUGUGUCCAGAAUGCGCCACGUGUCCGGAGCUUUGAUCAUAAAAUAUUGGCACACAGGGAAGAUAUUUAUCCACAAGAGUAGUCUAGAGAAGGCUAUAUAACCUUGGUUUUACGUCCUGCUGUCGAGCAUUUGUUGUUUUCGUUUGGUUCACACACAGUUGAGGGUGAGAAACGCACACAGUUGGAGAGGAGAUUCGGGAUUGGGGUGAGGAACCUUAGGGAUUGUCGGAGGUGUGGGCGUGAGGAUCAUGAUGGCUGAUAUUGUGCAGAGGUAUGUUUACUGGAUUGGUUUUGUGGUUGAUCUGUGUUUUUUUUGUUUUGUUUUGUUUGGGGAUUUUUGUGAUCUUUUUUGCUAAAUGGGAUUAUUAAUUGAUUGUUAUUUGUGAUGGUUUUAUUGAUCUUUUUGCUGUGUGUUUUUACUGAUGUAUCAGGUUGGGGUGUGUGUGAAAGAGGUCGAUUUGGGAGAGAGAGAGAGAGAGAGGGCUAGGGAGGGGGGAGAGAGGGGGCUGAUGGAGGGGAGAGGGAGAGAGAGAGAUAGGUAGGGGAGGAAGGGAGAUCGUGUGUGGGUGUAUGAUAGUCUGAUUGUGCUGAUGAAAUUACAUGCAUAUAGUUGAAUUGUGCAUCCAGGCUUGAAUAUGUGUUGCUUUGUUAGUAUAAGUGCUUAGGUUUUUCCAGGGCAAAAUCUAUGCUUAGAUUAGAUGUACUUUGUAAGCUGAAGUAUUUUGUUGAAAGCUUCUUGAAUCUUGUAUUUUCCGAAUUAUAUAAUGUGGUUGUGUAAAAUUGACUGUGAGUAUUUUAAUUACCUGUAUCUGUAAUUGAAGGAGUGUGAGUAUGGUUAUGCAGAUUGCUCUCUAUGUUGAUGUGAUCCUUAGUUAAAACCUUGUUACAUUGUUUGUUUUGGGCUGAAGUGUUGUUCACUUUAUUUUGCAGAAACUCUAUGAUGGGUCUAAUUAAACAAGAUUCUGAUACUGGAACCCCGCGCAUUGGUGAUUCCAGGAAGAGGAAGUCGCGAAGCACCAAGACCAAAAGUGUUGCUGAGACCCUAGCUAUGUGGAGGGAUUAUAAUAAGAAGCUUGAUGCGUUGAAUGCUAGUGCUAAACCAAUUCGCAAUUUUCAUGCUAAGGGAUCAAAGAAAGGAUGUAUGAAAGGGAAAGGGGGUCCUGACAAUACGCGCUCUAAUUUUAGAGGUGUGAGGCAGAGAACUUGGGGCAAAUGGGUUGCUGAAAUCCGCGAGCCUGGUGGAGGUAGUAGAUUGUGGCUGGGGACAUUCCCAAAUGCUGUCGAAGCUGCUCUUGCCUAUGAUGAAGCUGCAACAGCUAUGUAUGGAGCUGGUGCUCGACUUAAUUUACCAGAUUUUAGUUCCUACAAGGAGGAGUCUGGGGGAUCUGCUGCCCCUAGCAUGUCAUGUGCUGAUUCAGUGCUUACUACUACUACUUCCAACCGCACGGGGGCUUGCAUUGAUACUGAUCCGAAGGUGGGGAUUGCCGAUUUGGAAAUGAAGUGCAGUGAUGUGGAAGGUGAGUCGAAAGCUCCUGCUAUGGAAAUGAAGUGUAGUGAUGUGGAAGGUGAGUCGAAAGCCUCAGAAACUCAAAAUUACCGAAGUCCUGCAGUGGUGGAAGCUAUGACUGAAGUGAAGGAUGAACGAGUGGAGAUCAAGAAAGAGCAGGAGGAUAACAACGACAUAUUUAACAUUGACAAGGGUCUUCUGCUAGGUGAAAUGUUUGAUGUUGAUGAGCUCCUACAAAGCUUAAACACCUAUACUCUCCCUGAUCAGGCCAGCAACACUGAAUGGUUCUACAACAAUGAUCACGACAUUGGGCACUUCUUGCAAGAUGACGAGCUUAUAGCGAACCCCUCUGAUUUAAGUAUCCAGCAGCAAUAUCCUGAUAUAAAGCCAGAUGAUAUGUUUAAUGAACAAACAGGGUAUAAUCAGGAUCUGGAAUUCUUACUUCCUGGCAGGCCUGAAGAUUCCAAUUUCUCACCGGACGAGCUCAAGCUACUUGGCAUGGAUGCAAAUUCCGGGUUUUAAAGAGUAGAGCAUUAUCUGAUAUAGCAAGCAAAAACUUAGGGUCGUCUCACGGAGUUCACAUGGACCAUGAAAUGAGCCAAUUUCCCAUCUUUCUGGUGAUUUAGCACCAAAAACUAAUGUCUGUUUCUUUAAACGUUUCUUUCUUUAUUUUCCAUUUGCCUGUUCUGGUUGGUUAAACUAGUUUAUUAGACUAAGCUGCUUCUUAGGGCAGUAUGUUGGUGACAUUUUGCUGUGAAUGCUUUAAUGACUAUCCUUGGUGUACAUAAUCAGUGUUUUGCUAGUUUGUUAACUAGUUUGUAGGAGUUAGUUCUAUCAGGUUACUAUUAAAUUUUCUUUGCAUGUACUGUGUUAUCAGUUAGUGGAAAUAGCAUAUCAGUUUUUCCCUCUAGUUUCAAAGCAAACAAGUGUGUGUAUAUUGUGAAUACCAGGUCUGUUAACUUACAUGUUCCCGGGACUAACAUUCUCGUCGUCAAACAUUUCUGGUGAUAAGAUCAUUUCAUCAUCACUUAAAAAUGUAGAUCAUCUCUUAAAACAUGUAGAAAUGACAGGCGUUCAAUGAUCGUAUCUCCAAAAGCUGUUUCUGAUUCUCAGAAUUCUCAGACCUGUCUUGAUCCUGAAGCUAGCCCAGUACGCUCGCUCUUUCUCUAUAUCUAAUUGUAUUCGUUGCUUCAUUCAUUCAAUUUUUAUGCUCUCUUGAAGUAAGCUAAGCAUUGAUUAUUUAAUUAGUAUAGCAGUACUAAGUAGUACUUCAAUUCGGGUUCUUAAAGCUAAAUUAAUGUACUUUUUAUUUGUUACUUCUACUUCUUGUUCCUCGCCUUGAAAUUACCGCAUUCACAUGAGUUGAAUCGUUUUUUUUUUAAUUAUUAUUAUAGGAGGGGUUUGAGUUGAUUGAUUAUUUAUGAUGUUACAAAAAUUGUGUUUGGUUUAUAUUUAUACUUUCUGGCCAAAAUGUGGGAGUGGAUUGGUAAGAGGAUUGGACAUUGUUGCUUAAUUGGUAGAAAAAUUGGAGUUAAAUAUUUUGAUAAAGACUUCCAUGAUCUUAGUUGGAUUGAUUAUGUACUGUUUGGAGGGUUAAGCAUGAUACUUGGGGAAUUUUUUGGAAUGUGGAAUUAGGUUAAUGGCGCGAUUUUGGAGCAGACUGGGUACUUGUAACUAAGUAGCCCAGAUUUCCGUUUUGAUAGUAAGUGCCACUUACUGGUUUUGUUUGGAUGAAACGCUGUUGAUUACAUGUGCAUUGUAACAUGUUGCAUUUUCAUGCUCAGUAAUGAGAUUUGCAAUAUAAGUAUUGAAUAGGGAUUCACAUAUAAGCAUUCUUACAACAUCUGGCUAUAUAUGAGAUUCUCUGCAGAGUGUCUUGGGAAUUAUUCUUGGAGGUGGAGAUGGUACUCGUCUUUAUCCUCUUUUAAAGAAGAGGGCAAAACCUGCGGUUCCUUUAGGAGCAAAUUAUAGGCUUAUCGAUAUCCCUGUUAGCAAUUGCUUGAACAGUAACAUAUCAAAGAUUUAUGUUCUUACACAAUUCAAUUCUGCAUCUCUCAAUCGCCACCUUUCACGGGCUUAUGCAAGUA
rnacentral:lncRNA from 1 species